rnacentral:lncRNA from 1 species
UUUAUCGAGGUGACUCUCACCGGCAGUUCAGCAAUUCUACUGCGGAUCUCGCAAGUCUCCGCGUUCUCAAGCCCCGCCCCCCAACACCCGUGUUCGUCCUACGAACCACAUCCAGAUGACUGUGUCAAACUGGGCUCUCCUCAUGAACUUUCUCCUGUGAUCCACGGUAGCCAGUCACGAUUGCUUGUUUGGGAAUUUAAAGUUCUCUCUGAGAAGCCAGGCGCAGUGGUGCACACCUGCAAUCCUAGGAUUCGGGAGGAUGAGGCGAGAGGAUCUUGAGUCCCCAGCUGCAAGGGACACUUCGCU